UCGAACAAAGUGCCGGUGGUGCAGCACCCCCACCAUGUCCACCCACUCACACCUCUCAUCACGUACAGCAAUGAACACUUCACCCCGGGAAAUCCACCUCCGCACUUACCAGCUGACGUAGACCCCAAAACAGGAAUUCCACGGCCUCCGCACCCUCCAGAUAUCUCUCCAUAUUACCCGCUGUCGCCCGGCACCGUAGGACAAAUCCCCCAUCCGCUAGGAUGGUUAGUACCACAGCAAGGUCAGCCUGUGUACCCAAUCACGACAGGAGGAUUCAGACACCCCUACCCCACAGCGCUGACAGUCAACGCGUCUAUGUCUAGGUUCCCUCCCCACAUGGUCCCUCCCCAUCACACUCUGCACACGACCGGAAUCCCCCACCCGGCCAUUGUCACACCGACAGUCAAGCAGGAGUCCUCACAGAGUGACGUCGGCUCACUCCAUAGCUC
rnacentral:lncRNA from 1 species